CCACAUAAUAAUUCCGUAGGGUUGUGUUACUCUGCGACGCGUGCCUGCCACGUCAUCCCUCUUCUUUCUGUCCUCGCUUCCGAGGGGGAGAGAAGCUCCGCCGCCGCCGCCGCCGUCGUCGCCGUCGAAGCUGAGUGCUUUCAGUUACCGGCGGUCUCUAAUUCGCUUGGUGCAGGUCGGGAACCGGUUCGCCGGGAGGGCGGCAGGAACCUCUCCGCCGGCGUCCGCGCCGAUCGAGGGGGCGGAUUCGAUUCCCGCCUUGCAUCAACUGAAUCGGAGACCGCGGUGAAGGUUGCAAUUCGGAUCCGUCGGCCGACUUUUCCCGCUCCGCCUUCAGAUCUGGAGCUCUCUCUCUCUCUCUCUCUCUCUAUCUGAGUCGCUCUUCGUAUUCGCGCCAUUGAACAUCGUAUCGAACGAUUUGCAAAUGCGUCAUUUCCAACCUACGUGCGCUUUUCUGGCGAUCGCGAGCUCGAGCAAUCUUCCGAUUUCGAUCGGAGAAACGCCGACGAGUUCUGUCUAAGUUUUGAUUACUGAUGAUACUAGUAAAAUGCGGAUACACGAUUUAGUUCGCGAUAUCGCGGUGGUUUUGCGGUGUUGAAAAUCUCGUGUCUGCCGAUGUGAUUGAUGCGUUUGGACAUCGGGAGUUCAUCCGUUCUUGUACUAACUACGUAAAUCAGCUCGGAUUGAGUGCAGAGGAUCGGGAUAUCCAUUCGACAGAAUCCGUACCAAAUCUGGAAAAGAUGUCCGCAAGGGGGGGAAUCUACUGAAGUGUAGAGGUCUCUUCUAUUUAUUCUUCCGUGCAGAAGAUGAACGAAUUAGACCAGCAAGAACAGGUAUGCUCGAUAAAACCUGACCGCAGUAAAAACCUUGUAUAAAAUAUGAGUUUUAUUCAAAUUUUGGUCGUAAAUGACAGGCAAUUUAUUUUCCUGCCAAGAAUCGUUUCCUCCGAGUACAUGUACAAACUGUGUCCGAUCUCAAUGAUGGAUCUAUUCUUGAAUGCUAGCAGCAGUCUGCUUUCUAUUUGGAGCUGUGAAUGCUGUCUGUCUCUCCUCACAUGAAUACUUUUCCUUUCAUUUCUCUGUCUCUGUCUCUGUCUCUUGCAGAUGAUGCUCGGAGCAUCUUCUCUGGCGAAGUAGGUACCCACCAUAGCUUCUCUGGUUAGAUGCUCAAAUGGGUUCGCUGUGAUUUAGCCAUGCUCGGUCAUGUGUAUGGUCAUCUUCAUAGUUGUCCUGUAUAUGAUGAAUUCCAGAUCCAUUGUUUGAAGAGUCCUUGUGAAUAAUUGAAGCUGUAGCUGGGGUCUCUAGUCCUCUGGCCUCUGUUUUGGUUCUACUCGAUCUGAAAUGCUUGGAUGUAAAUAAUUUCUAGUUGGUGCUGUAUAUGGCUCACUCGUUGAGAUACCCAAAACAUAUUCGGGACUCAAGAGAUCAUUCAAUCUGUAAAUCAAUCUCUUAAAUAAGUUUUUGUGCGAUGUCAAA